UUUUCCCACCCCUUCCACCGCUUGCCAAUUUGUAUAAAUUUAGUCAUCUCGUUGUUUUAACAUUCUCAAAUCUGGUUCUAAAUUUGCCUCUCAGCUCUCAACUUUCACAGAUUUGAGUAGAUCUAAUUUUAUGCAAAUGUUCAAAGGCUGAAGUAUGUGCAACCUGCCAGAUCGUUUGUAAAUUUUGAAAUCAACACGAUAUGUUUUUGUUUGUUUUUCUUCUCAGUAAAAUAUGAAAUUUUCUAUGCUUUGAUGAAAUAUAAUCAACUUGAUAUGCUUCCUUUUGCUUUUGUUUUCAUUUAAAUACGAAUUUCCCUAUGCUUUCAUGAAAUAGUUCAUACACAUGCAUGUUAAAAUUUUUUAGCUUGGAUAAUUUCAGACCCAAUAUUUACAAUGUAAAAUAUAAUAACGUAAAUUCAUAACACAAUAGACAUAUACGUGACAAAGAAAGUAGGAAUUGCAAUUAAAAAAAAUUAAAAGUAGAAAUUAUAACGUAAAAAAUAGAAAUACAGCUACCAAAAA